rnacentral:rRNA from 1 species
CAUUACAGAGUUUAGGGUCCCUUGUGGGCCCAAACCUCCAACCCCCCUUGGUGUUUACUACCCUGUUGCUUCGGCAGGCCCAAUGGGUUUUACCUGCCGGAGCCUUAGUGUAACAAUCUGUUUAAUGAAUUGGUUAGUCUGAUCCUUCUGGAAAACAUAGAAUUGUUAAAACUUUCAACAACGGAUCUCUUGGUUCCCGCAUCGAUGAAGAACGCAGCGAAAUGCGAUAAGUAAUGUGAAUUGCAGAAUUCAGUGAAUCAUCGAAUCUUUGAACGCACAUUGCGCCCCUUGGUAUUCCGAGGGGCAUGCCUGUUCGAGCGUCAUUGCACAAUCUCUCAAGCGCCUAGCUUGGUGUUGGGUCUUCGUCCCUCCCUCCCUUCUCCCUACUGUUCGGGUAGAGGGAAGAGGACCCGGACGUACCUAAAAAUUAGUGGCGGUGCCCCCAUGUUGGUCUCAAGCGUAGCAGACUCUCUCUCGCUUUGGAUGACCUGUCAUGUUAGCUCACCAGCCCCUGCAUGUAUGCAUGCAUCUUUAACCAAUGUUUGACCUCGGAUCAGGUAGGGAUACCC